rnacentral:rRNA from 1 species
UUAGGAAUAUUGGGCAAUGGAGGGAACUCUGACCCAGCAACGCCGCGUGAAGGAAGAAGGUUUUCGGACUGUAAACUUCUGAUCUGAGGGAAAAAGAAAGUGAUGGUACCUCAGGAGAAAGCCACGGCUAACUACGUGCCAGCAGCCGCGGUAAUACGUAGGUGGCGAGCGUUGUCCGGAAUGACUGGGCGUAAAGGGAGCGUAGGUGGCAAUUUAAGUUAGGUGUGAAAGCCCGUGGCUCAACCACGGAAGUGCAUCUAAAACUGGAUAGCUAGAGUACAGGAGGGGUAAGCGGAAUUCCUAGUGUAGCGGUGAAAUGCGUAGAUAUUAGGAAGAACACCGGAGGCGAAGGCGGCUUACUGGACUGCAACUGACACUGAAGCUCGAAAGCGUGGGGAGCAAACAGG